rnacentral:rRNA from 1 species
AGUGAACGCUGGCGGUAGGCCUAACACAUGCAAGUCGAACGGCAGCACAGAGGAGCUUGCUCCUUGGGUGGCGAGUGGCGGACGGGUGAGGAAUACAUCGGAAUCUACUCUGUCGUGGGGGAUAACGUAGGGAAACUUACGCUAAUACCGCAUACGACCUACGGGUGGAAGCAGGGGACCUUCGGGCCUUGCGCGAUUGAAUGAGCCGAGGUCGGAUUAGCUAGUUGGCGGGGUAAAGGCCCACCAAGGCGACGAUCCGUAGCUGGUCUGAGAGGAUGAUCAGCCCCACUGGAACUGAGACACGGUCCAGACUCCUACGAGAGGCAGCAGGGGGGAAUAUUGGACAAUGGGCGCAAGCCUGAUCCAGCCAUACCGCGUGGGUGAAGAAGGCCUUCGGGUUGUAAAGCCCUUUUGUUGGGAAAGAAAUCCAGCUGGCUAAUACCCGGUUGGGAUGACGGUACCCAAAGAAUAAGCCCCGGCUAACUUCGUGCCAGCCGCCGCAGUAA